rnacentral:rRNA from 1 species
GAUGAACGCUAGCGGCAGGCCUAACACAUGCAAGUCGAGGGGCAGCACAGAAACAGCAAUGUUUUGGUGGCGACCGGCGGACGGGAGCGUAACGCGUAUGCAACCUACCUUUAACAGGGGGAUAACGGAGAGAAAUUUCCACUAAUACCCCAUAACAUCGAUCAAGGCAUCUUGAUUGGUUGAAAACUCCGGUGGUUAAAGAUGGGCAUGCGUUGUAUUAGGUAGUUGGUGGGGUAAUGGCUCACCAAGCCUACGAUACAUAGGGGGACUGGGAGGUUAGCCCCCCACACUGGAACUGGUACACGGACCAGACUCCUACGGGAGGCAGCAGUGAGGAAUAUUGGUCAAUGGGGGCAACCCUGAACAAGCCAUGCCGCGUGCAGGAAGACGGCUCUAUGAGUUGUAAACUGCUUUUAAACAGGGAUAAAGCACAGUAUGUAUACUGUGUUGAAGGUACUGUAAGAAUAAGGAUCGGCUAACUCCGUGCCAGCCGCCGCGGUAA